AACGAACGCUGGCGGCGUGCUUAACACAUGCAAGUCGAACGCGAAAGGGAUCUUCGGAUCCCCGGUAGAGUGGCGCACGGGUGAGUAACGCGUAAAUAAUCUACCCUGGUGUCUGGAAUAAUCAGCCGAAAGGCUGACUAAUACGGGAUACAUGCUUUGCUGUUGGGUGAAGCAGGAAAGGUGGCCUCUAUUUAUAAGCUAUCGCACUGGGAUGAGUUUGCGUACCAUUAGCUAGUUGGUGGGGUAAUGGCCUACCAAGGCGACGAUGGUUAGCGGGUCUGGGAGGAUGAUCCGCCACACUGGCACUGGAACACGGGCCAGACUCCUACGGGAGGCAGCAGGGAGGAAUAUUGCGCAAUGGGGGCAACCCUGACGCAGCGACGCCGCGUGAGUGAGGAAGGCCUUCGGGUCGUAAAGCUCUGUCAGCAGGGAAGAAGUGCAUGGUGGCUAAUAUCCAUUGUGUUUGACGGUACCUGCAAAGGAAGCACCGGCUAACUCCGUGCCAGCCGCCGCAGUAAGAC
rnacentral:rRNA from 1 species